rnacentral:rRNA from 1 species
GAACGCUAGCUACAGGCUUAACACAUGCAAGUCGAGGGGCAUCAGGAAGAAAGCUUGCUUUCUUUGCUGGCGACCGGCGCACGGGUGAGUAACACGUAUCCAACCUGCCCUUUACUCGGGGAUAGCCUUUCGAAAGAAAGAUUAAUACCCGAUAGCAUAAUGAUUCCGCAUGGUUUCAUUAUUAAAGGAUUCCGGUAAAGGAUGGGGAUGCGUUCCAUUAGGUUGUUGGUGAGGUAACGGCCCACCAAGCCUUCGAUGGAUAGGGGUUCUGAGAGGAAGGUCCCCCACAUUGGAACUGAGACACGGUCCAAACUCCUACGGGAGGCAGCAGUGAGGAAUAUUGGUCAAUGGGCGCUAGCCUGAACCAGCCAAGUAGCGUGAAGGAUGAAGGCUCUAUGGGUCGUAAACUUCUUUUAUAUAAGAAUAAAGUGCAGUAUGUAUACUGUUUUGUAUGUAUUAUAUGAAUAAGGAUCGGCUAACUCCGUGCCAGCAGCCGCGGUAAUACGGAGGAUCCGAGCGUUAUCCGGAUUUAUUGGGUUUAAAGGGAGCGUAGGUGGACUGGUAAGUCAGUUGUGAAAGUUUGCGGCUCAACCGUAAAAUUGCAGUUGAUACUGUCAGUCUUGAGUACAGUAGAGGUGGGCGGAAUUCGUGGUGUAGCGGUGAAAUGCUUAGAUAUCACGAAGAACUCCGAUUGCGAAGGCAGCUCACUGGACUGCAACUGACACUGAUGCUCGAAAGUGUGGGUAUCAAACAGGAUUAGAUACCCUGGUAGUCCACACAGUAAACGAUGAAUACUCGCUGUUUGCGAUAUACAGUAAGCGGCCAAGCGAAAGCAUUAAGUAUUCCACCUGGGGAGUACGCCGGCAACGGUGAAACUCAAAGGAAUUGACGGGGGCCCGCACAAGCGGAGGAACAUGUGGUUUAAUUCGAUGAUACGCGAGGAACCUUACCCGGGCUUAAAUUGCAGUGGAAUGAUGUGGAAACAUGUCAGUGAGCAAUCACCGCUGUGAAGGUGCUGCAUGGUUGUCGUCAGCUCGUGCCGUGAGGUGUCGGCUUAAGUGCCAUAACGAGCGCAACCCUUAUCUUUAGUUACUAACAGGUUAUGCUGGGGACUCUAGAGAGACUGCCGUCGUAAGAUGUGAGGAAGGUGGGGAUGACGUCAAAUCAGCACGGCCCUUACGUCCGGGGCUACACACGUGUUACAAUGGGGGGUACAGAAGGCAGCUAGCGGGUGACCGUAUGCUAAUCCCAAAAUCCUCUCUCAGUUCGGAUCGAAGUCUGCAACCCGACUUCGUGAAGCUGGAUUCGCUAGUAAUCGCGCAUCAGCCACGGCGCGGUGAAUACGUUCCCGGGCCUUGUACACACCGCCCGUCAAGCCAUGGGAGCCGGGGGUACCUGAAGUACGUAACCGCAAGGAUCGUCCUAGGGUAAAACUGGUGACUGGGGC